CAGGUUCCACGUGGGAGAAAUCCAUACGACAAAUUGGCUUUGAAAGUGUGAUUGGUGCAGAUGCGGGGAACGGUAUCCGAGUGUUCAUCCCCGACAUCGGCAUGUUUGUGGCCGGACUGGCCAUCUGGCUGCUGUGCCGCAGUCUGGUCCAGAAGAGACCGCCGGAGGACAUGGCCCAGUACAACACUGACUUUGAAGCAGAGGAACAAGAAGAAGAGGAGAAGCUGAGCCUGGACGACAACAUCCUGCUGGAAGAAGACUACGAGGCGGGGUACGAGGCCGAGGAGGAUGAAGAGG